GACGAACGCUGGCGGCGUGCUUAACACAUGCAAGUCGAACGGAAAGGCCCUGCUUUUGUGGGGUGCUCGAGUGGCGAACGGGUGAGUAACACGUGAGUAACCUGCCCUUGACUUUGGGAUAACUUCAGGAAACUGGGGCUAAUACCGUAUAGGAUCUCCUGCUGCAUGGUGGGGGUUGGAAAGUUUCGGCGGGUGGGGAUGGACUCGCGGCUUAUCAGCUUGUUGGUGGGGUAGUGGCUUACCAAGGCUUUGACGGGUAGCCGGCCGUGGAGGGUGACCGGCCACCUUGGGCCUGAGAUACGGCCCAGACUCCUACGGGAGGCAGCAGUGGGGAAUAUUGCACAAUGGGCGGAAGCCUGAUGCAGCAACGCCGCGUGCGGGAUGACGGCCUGCGGGUUGUAAACCGCUUUCGCCUGUGACGAAGCGUGAGUGACGGUAAUGGGUAAAGAAGCACCGGCUAACUACGUG
rnacentral:rRNA from 1 species